UAGGGAAUCUUCCGCAAUGGGCGAAAGCCUGACGGAGCAAUGCCGCGUGAGUGAAGAAGGCCUUCGGGUCGUAAAACUCUGUUAUAAGAGAAGAACAAAUUGUAGAGUAACUGCUACAGUCUUGACGGUAUCUUAUCAGAAAGCCACGGCUAACUACGUGCCAGCAGCCGCGGUAAUACGUAGGUGGCUAGCGUUGUCCGGAUUUAUUGGGCGUAAAGGGAGCGCAGGUGGUUUCUUAAGUCUGAUGUGAAAGCCCACGGCUUAACCGUGGAGGGUCAUUGGAAACUGGGAAACUUGAGUACAGAAGAGGAAUGUGGAACUCCAUGUGUAGCGGUGGAAUGCGUAGAUAUAUGGAAGAAAACCAGUGGCGAAGGCGACAUUCUGGUCUGUUACUGACACUGAGGCUCGAAAGCGUGGGGAGCAAACAGG
rnacentral:rRNA from 1 species